CCUACGGGAGGCAGCAGUGGGGAAUAUUGGGCAAUGGGCGCAAGCCUGACCCAGCAAUGCCGCGUGAAGGAAGAAGGCUUUCGGGUUGUAAACUUCUUUGACAGGGGAAGAGCAGAAGACGGUACCCUGAAAACAAGCCACGGCUAACGACGUGCCAGCAGCCGCGGUAAUACGUAGGUGGCAAGCGUUGUCCGGAUUUACUGGGUGUAAAGGGCGUGUAGCCGGGAAGGCAAGUCAGAUGUGAAAUCUGGAGGCUCAACCUCCAAAUUGCAUUUGAAACUGUUUUUCUUGAGUACUGGAGAGGCAGACGGAAGUCCUUGUGUAGCGGUGAAAUGCGUAGAGAUAAGGAGGAACACCAGUGGCGAAGGCGGUCUGCUGGACAGCCACUGACGGUGAGGCGCGAAAGCGUGGGGAGCAAACAGGAUUAGAUACCCGUGUAGUC
rnacentral:rRNA from 1 species